CUAUUGAAUCAUUCCCAUGGUGAAUGACUAGCUACACUAUGAAACCACACACUACUGAAUCAUUCCCAUGGUGAAUGACUAGCUACACUAUGAAACCACACACUAUUGAAUCAUUCCCAUGGUGAAUGACUAGCUACACUAUUGAAUCAUUCCCAUGGUGAAUGACUAGCUACACUAUGAAACUACACACUAUUGGAACAUUCCCAUGGUGAAUCACUAGCUACACUAUGAAACCACACACUAUUGAAUCAUUCCCAUGGUGAAUGACUAGCUACACUAUGAAACUACACACUAUUGGAACAUUCCCAUGGUGAAUCACUAGCUACACUAUUGAAUCAUUCCCAUGGUGAAUGACUAGCUACACUAUGAAACCACACACUACUGAAUCAUUCCCAUGGUGAAUGACUAGCUACACUAUGAAACUACACUAUUGAAUCACUCCCAUGGUGAAUGACUAGCUACACUAUGAAACCACACUAUUGAAUCAUUCCCAUGGUGAAUCACUAGCUACACUAUGAAACCACACACUAUUGAAUCACUCCCAUGGUGAAUGACUAGCUACACUAUGAAACUACACUAUUGAAUCAUUCCCAUGGUGAAUCACUAGCUACACUAUGAAACCACACACUAUUGAAUCAUUCCCAUGGUGAAUGACUAGCUACACUAUGAAACUACACACUAUUGGAACAUUCCCAUGGUGAAUCACUAGCUACACUAUUGAAUCAUUCCCAUGGUGAAUGACUAGCUACACUAUGAAACCACACACUAUUGAAUCAUUCCCAUGGUGAAUGACUAGCUACACUAUGAAACUACACUAUUGAAUCAUUCCCAUGGUGAAUGACUAGCUACACUAUUGAAUCAUUCCCAUGGUGAAUGACUAGCUACACUAUUGAAUCAUUCCCAUGGUGAAUGACUAGCUACACUAUGAAACCACACACUAUUGAAUCAUUCCCAUGCUGAAUAACUAGCUACACUAUGAAACCACACACUAUUGAAUCAUUCCCAUGGUGAAUGACUAGCUACACUAUGAAACCACACACUAUUGAAUCAUUCCCAUGCUGAAUGACUAGCUACACUAUUGAAUCAUUCCCAUGGUGAAUGACUAGCUACACUAUGAAACCACACACUAUUGAAUCAUUCCCAUGGUGAAUGUCUAGCUACACUAUGAAACCACACACUACUGAAUCAUUCCCAUGGUGAAUGACUAGCUACACUAUGAAACCACACACUAUUGAAUCAUUCCCAUGGUGAAUGUCUAGCUACACUAUGAAACUACACACUAUUGAAUCAUUCCCAUGGUGAAUGUCUAGCUACACUAUGAAACUACACACUAUUGCAGAUAUGGUGAAAGCAAUGUGUGGUGAGGUAGAGGCACAGAAACUCACAUCAAUACCUUUGUCAGAUAACACUGUUAAACAAACAAUGUACGCUAUAGCUAGAGAGGAAACUGACCGACUCAGACUCCCCAGCUUAUGCUCUGAGAUAUACCGCAGCAGGUAACUUGCAUUGUAAACUUCACCUAACAAAAAUAAACCUGUAAAGUGUCCCAUUUUUCAUGAGCUGAAAUAAAAUAUCCCAGAAAUGUUCCAUACGCACAAAAAGCUGAUUUCUCAAAAAUGUUGUGCUCACAUUUGUUGACAUCUCUGUUAGUGAGCAUCUCUCCUUCACCAAGAUAAUCCAUCCACCUGGACAGGUGUGGCAUAUCAAGAAGCUGAUUAAACAGCAUGAGCAUUACGCAGGUGCACCUUGUGCUGGGGGACAAUAAAAUGCCACUAAAAAUGUGCAGUUUUAUCUAGGGCUGGGCGAUAAGACCAAAAUAUCAUAUCAUAUUUAUAGUAUUUAUUUUUAUUUUUUUAUUUGAAAUUUUUACAGUAUUUUAUGUUUUUGAUUAAUAAAAGUUCUACAUGUGCUUUAUGAGCAGUGACCUUGGGGUGGCAACACAUACAUUCUAAAUGAUUUCAAUGAGUCUUUCUCCAUUCUGAUUGGUUUAUACCGCUCAAUUCAACUUCAACCUAAAAUAAUUUUCUGCAUUUCCUGCACUCAUUUGAGAUCAUUUCCACAGCAUAGUAGUUAGAGUGUUGGGCCAGUAACCGAAAGGUUGCUAGAUCGAAUCCCCAUGCUGAUAAGGUAAAAAUCUGUUGUUCUGCCCCUGAACAAAAUAAAAAAUAAAAAUCUUUGUUGACUUUCUGUGUGAUGAAAAGAAAAUGUGUCUCCUUGCCUGUAACAGACAUAUUUGGGAACCUGAACCCAAGCAUGCAGGGGGGAAUACAAAAACAUUCUACAGAUUAGUGACCCGAUCAGUCGAUUCAGAGGAAGUCAUUAUUAUUGGAGAGAGUCUUUCAAAAGAGAACCGUGCCCCCCUUCCCUCCACUGUGCCUGUUUCUAUCAGCAAACAGCAUCAGGAAGUGUCCCACACCAGUGAUGACUGCUCACCUCCAACGCGUGGAAGAGCACCUACUUCCCAAUCCGUUUGACUCUGGCUCAGUUGACAUGCCGGUAAAUCAAACAGCUUGUUGUAGAGGCAAAGCGGGGUUCGACACAGUACUAGAUGGGUGUACCUAAUAAACUGGCCAUUGAGUAUCUAGGUAGUAGUACAAUGAACAAAACAGCAAUGUCAGUAACCUCAGGCCAAAAGACCAGUUAGGUACUGCACUUCUAAAUUCUCUAUGUAUAGCUAAAUGACUCAGGCCAAAAGACCAGUUAGGUACUGCACUUCUAAAUUCUCUAUGUAUAGCUAAAUGACUCAGGCCAAAAGACCAGUUAGGUACUGCACUUCUAAAUUCUCUAUGUAUAGCUAAAUGACUCAGGCCAAAAGACCAGUUAGGUACUGCACUUCUAAAUGCUCUAUGUAUAGCUAAAUGACUCAUAACAAAAGACCAGUUAGGUACUGCACUUCUAAAUGCUCUAUGUAUAGCUAAAUGACUCAUGCCAAGAGACCAGUUAGGUACUGCACUUCUAAAUUCUCUAUGUAUAGCUAAAUGACUCAGGCCAAAAGACCAGUUAGGUACUGCACUUCUAAAUGCUCUAUGUAUAGCUAAAUGACUCAGGCCAAGAGACCAGUUAGGUACUGCACUUCUAAAUUCUCUAUGUAUAGCUAAAUGACUCAUAACAAAAGACCAGUUAGGUACUGCACUUCUAAAUGCUCUAUGUAUAGCUAAAUGACUCAGGCCAAAAGACCAGUUAGGUACUGCACUUCUAAAUUCUCUAUGUAUAGCGAAAUGACUCAUAACAAAAGACCAUAGUAAUGGAAUCCCCAGGGAGAGGAACACCAGACAGGUGGGUUAAUAUAGGAAUCCCCAGGGAGAUUAGACCAGAGA